UUACAAAGGAAACAUGGAGAAGAAAAGUGCGGUUUUCCUUGAAAUCGAUGAAGAUAUAAAAGAAAUAAGCUAUUUUUAGAGGGCAGUGCACCACAGGAGCUGGACACUCUAUUUCCCAAGCCUUCGUCCUAUGAACGAGCUACUACCAUCAAACCUAAGCAUGGUUGCUGUGUGAAGACCCAUGAUAACGAGAAGAAAAAGGUGUUUAUCAACAUUUGCACCUCAGAUGCCAUCAGUGCCCCUGAAGACAUAACUGAUGAUGAACUGAUUGCUAUCCUGGAGUCAGAAGCAGCAUCAGACUUCCGCGUGCCUAUGUCUAUUGGCGAACCUCACAAUGAAAAGGCGAAAUGUAAGAUAAUUUAUAGUAUG